GCUCAUUUCAGGUGCCAAUCUGGAUAAAUGGGGAGACACUCAGGCCCUGCGCCACCCCUCCACGCCCCUAACUUCUGCUGCUCAGAUGCAACGACUUUCAACUCUUUCGUCUACUUCUGGAGUUACAUCACUUCCUGUGUUGCUGAAGAAUCAGAUGUCUCUUCUUGCAUGUCAUCAGUUUGGGGUGGCUGAUUCCGAUCUUCUGUGCAUUACAAAUCACAGCAUGGGAGACAGACCGCGGGCUCCGGAGCGCAGACAGCUGGGUGUUCCCUCACUGUCUCACUGCUGUGUGACUUUGGGCAGACACAUCUCCACUUCAGUUUCCUCAUCUGCCCAACAGGAACAAUGACAGCCAUUCUACAGUGUUGUUGGCCAGCCUAGACAGCUGUGUGUCCUACUUGGACUGCUGUGGGCACUUAAUGAACAGUAGCUAUUCUUUCAUUCAUCCUUUGUUCUCCAACCACAACAGAUCACUCAGGGUUACCCAGACACGCCACAGACUUUCCCUCCUCCCGCCGCUCCCCCCUGCUGCCCCCAGGCCAGGAACGCCCCACCUCCCAUUCUCCACCUCUCAUCCUUCAACAUCCAGUUCAAACUCUAUCUCCUUUCCGAAACCUUCCCCAUUGUCCUCGGAGCCCCAACACUCAACGGUUCACCUGCUUUACAAAGUGUUUUGUUCUGCCUAUUCCGCCUAGAGUUCAGUGUUCACAUACCUGACUCACCAACUUCUCCCUCAAAAGUCAAUGUCUUGUUCAUCUGUUUGUAUCUGCCACCCCACUCCCCAUUCCCUGAGCAUUAGUAUUUAAGGAUGCCUUUUAAACGAGCCUUAGUGGUUCGAUUCAUAUAAGGCCAGCUCAUUAUUUUUUAAAAUCAAUCAAUACUCAAAAUUAUACAGAGCUACAAAUCACCCCAGAUCCCUCUAUCCAGGAAAAUAAAAAUAGAUUCAUAUCGUUCAUCAGCUGUCUCUCCAUCCACAUAUGAACAGAAGCGUGGAGGAUGGAAGAAUGCAGGAAAGGAUGGGUGAGGUUACUUAAUAAAGUAGCUAGGUUUUUUUUUUUUAAAUAAGUAAAAUAAGGAAAGUACAGAAAAGUAAAAUAAAGGAAAAGCUGAACUUUUAAUAAAUGUUUCCCCAUCAGAACAGACGUUGUUUCCUUAAAGAUCCCUCCAAGUUUAAGAGAAGAAAAAUCAGUUGAAAGUUUGGAGCCAUGACACUAACACCCUAUUUAGACAGUGUGAACGAGGGGAAGUUAGCUCGUAACAUCCCUCCCUCCCUCCCCCAGCUCUCCAUUUCCAUUAUAUCCUUUUUACUUCCUCACAUUCUGUUCCUUAGUCUUACAACCCACCCACGCCGAGCUUUUCUCUAUUUGGUGGAUGAGAGCUCACCCAAUGACCUUUUACCACGCCUUCCAAAGUAUGCUUUGGACCAAUCUUUUUCAUCAUCAAGUAGGUUUUCCCAAGAAGGGCUCAUUGUGUUGUAUUUCCUGAGUCCUUGCACUUGUGAGGAUGGCUACCUGCAUUACCCUUGCAAAGGGAUUUGAGUGGAAAAAUCUCCAAUCACACUACCUUUCCCUCGCAACUCUGUAAAUACUUCUUCUCCAUGUUCUCAAGUUUUGCUUCUGCUACAGAUCAAGUCUGAGACCAACAUGGCUUUUCCCCAGGGGCAAAGAUGAACUGCUCCCAAAAUGCAUUUUCCUCAUCUUCCUUUUGAUAACAGAAGACCUUCCCCAAAACUGAGUUUUAAGAGGGCACACAGCUUCCCAGGCAGAGAUGUUUUCCCAGCUUCCUUUGCAGCCAGACGUGUCCAUGUGACUAUGUUUUGGUCAAUGGAGCAUGCGAAGUGAUGUGUGCCUCCACAGAUAGCCCAAUUAUCCUUCUGGAAAUUGUAGUUGUUGUUGUUAUUGGAGGUACUGGGGAUUGAACCCAGGUCCUCCUGCAUGCUAAGCCCGCACUCUACCACUGAGCUCUACCGCUAACCCCAAUUACCCUUCUGAGGGAUCAUCUCAUUACAACCUUCAGAUCUCUGAUUUUCUCGGAUUCAUUUCUUUAUCUUUUUUCUCAGCAUCUACUGUGAUUUUCCUCAAGCCUUCCUUCUCUGUUAGUAAUUUACUUUUCAGUGGAUUCCACUUUGUCCUUUUAUUAACUUUGUCUUGAAUGAUGUUGUUUGUAUCCUCAAUUUUUUCCUUCGCUCUUUAAUUGCCCUUUCCAUUUCCUUCUGUAGUUUCAUCAUUUUGUCCCUAAGUUCUCAAUUGAUUAGUUUUCAAUCAACUUUAUUUUGAAGAAUUAAUGAACGAAUCCCCCUACUGCCUCUUCAACCCAAGAGCCAACUCCAACCCAGAAAUUAUCUUGGGACAUGGGGAGAACAGGCUAAAGGUAUCCCAUUUAUCACUGAGGGAGACCAAAUACUAUUACCCACGUGCCAUGCCUUCCACCUUCCUGAUUCUCCUCAUCCUCUGAGGGACAGACAGCUCAAGGCCUACCUGCCCCAGACUCUUCCAGCCCACAUGACUCUGUCCCUCUCCAGCCCCCAAAGGGGUUCUCUGAACUAAAGGAGUCACAGGUCACACCUCGGCUACUGAGUGAGCUUGGAACUUUUGAGAAAGGAGAUGUAUCUACUCCUUCUCCCUUGUUACAUCUGGUGGGACAAUAAAGGUUUUCUUUGAAGAUUUCUGGGCUACUGAUUCUCUGAAUGAGAAGGAGGACAAAUACUAGAACCGAGACCCAGAAGGUGCCUUCAGCAGCAGACCCACUUGUCCCCAGUUAAUUGUAAGCUGGAGAACACAACGAGACAGGUGGAAGGAAGAGGAUUCAGCAAAAGUAUAACCUUUGAAAGAUGAAUAGAGAGUGAACAAGCACCUUAGCAAGCGAGACCUUCUCAACCUGUCCCUGCAGUCACUGUUGUGAGGGCUGAGCGGGCCUACAUUCAUGUUCAAGCACUUAACUUCCUUGCUGUCUGAUUUUGAACAAGUCACUGAACUUCCUUCAGCCUUUGUUUCCUCUUCUAUUAAAUGGGGGUGAUAAUAGUAGUGCUACCAUAGAGAGGUUAUGAGAAUUACAUUUGGUGAUGCAAGUAAUGGUUCCAGUUUCAUCUUCCAUCACUUCCUGCCUUAUGUGUUCCCCUCCAGGAAUGUCAACCUGCCAUGCAGUUCCCCUACCUAUGCAAAGAGCCAUUUUUCACCCCACACCUCCACUCUUGCAACCCCUUCUCCUUCGCAUGCCCUUCUCCCAGAGGCUAACAGCUCCUACCCUCUAAGACCCAACUUAAGCAUCACCUCCUCCAGAAAGCCCUCCCAGACGCGUACAUUCUUCCCAACCUCGGUGCACACCCAAAUCAUAAUAUUCAUCACACAAUAUUAUUAAUAUCCGCAUGUCCACCUCCAACUAAGCUCUUAAAGGAAGAGA